AGCGAACGUUUGCGGCGGGCCUAACACAUGCAAGUCGUACGCACUGGCAAUAGUGAGUGGCGCACGGGUGCGUAACACGUGGGUAAUCAACCCUUCAGCUUGGGAUAACGACUUGAAAGGGUCGCUAAUACCGGAUACGGCGCGGGAGGCUUCGGCUUCUCACGAGAAAGCCUCGCAAGGGGCACUGAAGGACGAGCCUGCGGCCCAUCAGCUAGUUGGUGAGGUAAGAGCUCACCAAGGCGAAGACGGGUAGCUGGUCUGAGAGGAUGAUCAGCCACACUGGAACUGAGACACGGUCCAGACUCCUACGGGAGGCAGCAGUGGGGAAUAUUGCGCAAUGGGCGAAAGCCUGACGCAGCCACGCCGCGUGAGCGAUGAAGGCCUCGGUCGUAAAGACUCUGUGGGGAGAGACGAAGAAAGACCCGUGAAGAGCGGGCCCGUUGACGGGUAUCUCCUUAGCAAGACACCGGCUAACUCCGUGCCAGCAGCCACGG
rnacentral:rRNA from 1 species